CCCUCAAUAAAUAUUUGUCCACUAAAUAGAUGACCAAAUAAAUCUGACCCUGUCGCUUUCUUACUUGUGACCUUUCAGUGUUUUUACUCCCCUCCCUCAUCACCUGCUUAAUAAAAGCUGAACUCUAUCAUGACAUGAUCUAGCACUGGUCCAACUUCAUUUUCUACCUCUUCCCAACUCACCUGAUAUAUUUUCUUUUCCUAUUAACACUGAUUAGCACUGAAUAACUUGUUCACAGAGAGCGCUAUAAUUUAUCAGGACUGCAAGCCUUUGCAUAUGCUAGAGUCCCUCUGCCUGGGACACCUUCCUGUUCCUUUGCCUGACAAGUUACUAUUCAUUUUUAAAAUUUUAUCACGAGUUACUUUCCUGAAAGAGGUUCUUCUGGACGCUUGAGGCAACCUUAGGCUUUCCUUUCUUUAUGAUCUUAUUACACAUUUUGUACCUCCUUAAGUAGUUUUAUCAUAAGUACUUUCAUCAAUCUCUGGUUUCACUCUACUUUUGGGUAUGCAGGAAGAUCAUACUUUUUUGUCUCUUUGAAAUUAUGUAUAGCCAUGUGGCUUUAUCUGGCCAGCAAAAUAUAAGUGGAGUUGUUGUGCUGAAGCAUACUUAUAAGUGGGAGUGCAAUUCUCCAUUUCUUCUGCCAUCUUCCAAGAUAAUCAGUUACAUUCUAUGUAAUGGAAUCUCUGUUAGUCUGUGUCUCCAAAUGUGGAUGAAGUUGAGCAGAAUCCCCGACCUGUGCAUGAUGGACAUAUAAUAUGAGCAAGAAACAAAUCUUUUUUGUUUUAAGCUAUUGAGAUGUUGAGAUUGUUUAUUACUGCAGUAUAACCUAAUCUAUCCUGACAAACAUACUUCCACAUAGUCAUUACCCUAUCUCUUAAUAAUAGCAGUUUACCAUUUCUUUGAGGUCAAGGCAAUAUCAUUACACUUCUUUUUAGAUUAGGCACUUAAAAUAUUUGUUAGUACAAUGCUAGAAAAAAUAUUUUUGGACACCUGCGAUGUGCCUGGCACUGUACUAAGGAUUUUACUCAUGUUAUUUAAUCCUCAACAACCCUAUGGGUAGGCAUGAUUCCCAUUUUACUCACAGAGAAAGAAGCUCAGAGGGGUUGAGGUGACUUUCUCAAUGUCACACCACUGGUGAGAAACAGAAUCAGCCACCAACCAAGUAGUUCUGAUUCUUCCGCUCACACUCAUUCCGCUACACGCUGCCCUGGGAGUAACAGAUGAAGUAUGUGCUGUCUGCGAGGAGGCCCCAUCCAUGCAGACAUACCUGUCCUAAACCUUGUACUGGACAACUAAACAAGCAUCAAACAAAUCCGAGUGUCAAUCUCACUCCCCACUAAGCCUGAGGCCUCGCAUAUGACAGGAUAAAUCAAGAGUUGUGAACAUGCAGGAGCCCUGGUGGGACCUUGGGUGGCUGACCUGUGACAGCGCCUGGGCGCUGAGGAGGCUUCUUCUCUCAGAAAUACAGGAGCAUGGAAAUGAAAGCCCAGAGACGAGAAGAUUUUUAAGAGUUGAACUGAGCUGCAAGCAUGUGGAUCAUGUAAGUGUUAACAGAGGCAGACAGAGAAGAGAGACCUGCCAUGAAGUGCUAUGGUGGGAGGUGUGUCAGCUCGGGGGUGGAGGAGUCCCAGGUGGCCCCAGGAGAAGAGGCCUCUGAACAAAGAAGACAAUGCUUGGGUUAUGGUGGAGGGGACAUGGAAGGUGAGUGUUUUCUUCUUAUAAUUCUAGAAUGGUAGGCCUCCAAGAGUCCUCAGAGAUCUUCCAACCCAACAAACUCAUUUGAAAUAUGGGAAAAUGGAGUAUACAACAAGUUAGAGACUUGACCAGGAAAAAGGAUCCAGUUAGCAACAGAGGUGGGAUUUGAACAGGUUGUCCAUUUCCAACCUUGCCAUUCUUUCUCCUGUCUCUAUUCCAAAUUGAAUGACUCUCCAAGGGUACCAGUGGGAAGUAAGCUUCUUUUCCCCAAACCAGACACUUUUUCAGGUGGUACAGCCUUUCCUUAAGAGCUGUAGCUCACGAGCCAAUUUCAGAUGCCAGUGUUAACUGCUUACUCCUUGGGGUCUCCUAGGCCAGUCCCGUAGUUUAUUACACAGCCAGGCCAAGAGUUGGAGAGACUAGUCGCUGAGAAAUAUAAGAUUUGAGGGAUAUUUUGUGGUUUAGAUUUCCCUCGAAGCAGAAUCUGAAAUGAGGAAUUGAGGGAAAGUCGUUUAUUUGGUAGGUGAUCCUAGGAAACACCACCUGGGAAGCGAGACUGGGAAGAGGAGGGAGGAAACCAAUAAAUGAUGUGUUAUCAAACCAGUCACCACCAUGGGCAACUGGACCUUGGUUCUGCUAGGGAAUUUAAGGAGACCAUGUAGAACAGAUACCUUAGAGCAGGGUUUCACAAACUUGGCACUGUUGAUAUCUGGGGCUGGAUAAUUCUUGGUUUAGGGGAUUGUCCUUUCUCCUGUCAGAUGGUUAGUAGCAUCUGGAACUGUACCCAUUAGAUGCAAGUCGCAUCUCCUCCCCACCCCUCCUCCCACCUGUUGCGACAACCUAAAAGGUCUCUGAACAUUGUCAAAUGUCCCCUGGGGGAAUCAUUUGUGAAGGACUGAGAAACCACUGCCUUAGAGUUAUCCCAUUUAAGGGACAAGGAUGCUGGGGCAUAUUUAUCCUCUGACUCCCUGUCUGCCACUGGUAGCACGUUAUUUCUUGGGGGCACUGACGCUCUGGAAUUCAUUGACCAGGCAUGCUAUCUUCAUCAGAAGAAAAGUAUUCAGGUCAAGAUUUUCAGGAAAACAGCUCUUGGCAUUUAGAGGAGAGUUCUGAAUGUAUAUGAGUGGGGCAGAGAAAACACCUAAGAUUGUAGUCAUUUGGGGAUCUGCUUUAUCAUUAAUUGAUUUAGCCAUCAUUUCUUCACCAUUCUACAAAUGUUUAUUAAGGACCUACUGUGUGCUAGGUGCCAGGCACAACAUAGGAGAUUCAAUGUCCAAUGAUGAGCAAAAAGUGGAUACAGCUCCUGCCUUUAUGCCUUUUGAAGUAAUAGUCUAGAGGAGCAAUGAACAUUAAUCAAGUAACAGAAAUGAAUUUUUAAAUCAUAUAGUGAUAAUGCUAUGAUAAGCUACAAAGUACUGAAAUAAGUCAUAAUACAUUGGCUAUUCUUCCAACACCCUGUCUUCAGGGCAUUGGGAAUUGUCAUUCCCUCUAUCAGGAAAAUUUUUCUUACAGGUAGCACAGCUUGGUUUUUCUCUGUAUUUAGGGUGUAGUUACAUGGUCCCCUCUUCAGAGGAGCUUCAGAGACCACUUAACUUUGACCACUUUAUCUAAAAUAGUGCUUGGCCCUUUCACCCUUUACUUUGUUCAUUUCUUGUUCAUAGCACCUGUCAUACCUGACAGAGGUAUUUUUAUUGUUUAUUUUUUGUCCCUCCCUGGCAUGUCAAUUGUCUCAUUGCCUUUAUGUUCCUACCAACUAGGUCAAUGCCUGGAACUUAGUAGGUAUUCAAUAAAUACUUGAUGUAUGAGUAAUCGAGAGAGAUUGACUUGGUGAGGUCAGGGAAAACUUUCUUAAGGCAAUAGCAAUAAGCCAAGAUCUAAAGACAGAAGGAAUUACCUGGAUGAAGGGGUUAAGGAAAAGCAUUCUAGAUAGCAGGAAUAGCAUGUGGAAUGGCUCUGUGGAUAGGAAGAAGCAUAGAGAUCCUAAAUAACUAAAAGCAGGUCUGUGUACAUGGAACAGAGAGAGCCUGGAGCCAUUAGUUAGGAUUUUAAGCUUCAGAGUAAAAACAACAGAAAGCCAUUGAUAUGUUUUAAGCAAUGGAAAGUUGUACAUGGGAAGGUAGAAGAAGAGUGGAAAACACAACCUGAUUUUUGUUUUAAAAAGAUCAUCUGGUUUCAGGGUCUGGAAUGCUGGAAGGAGCCAAGAACAGACGCCAUCUUGGUGAUGUGUUUCAUCUUCAGGACCUGAGACCCAUCUGGUCAAAUAUUUGUGUAUAUAUGGAAAAUUUUAGGUCAUUUGUUAAAAGGAGCUCAUGAAUAUAUGUCCUUGACUUCCCAGGGAUGGAAAAAACUAUUUUCUCCCCCAAAGAACUUCCAAAUAGUGCUUCUAGUCUAUGCUCCUCAUCAGUGUCAAUGUCUCUUGGAUGUCUCUAGUUUUGGUUGAGGAAUGAGGAACUGUGGUUGUUUCCUUUUAUUGGCUGAUUCGUCUGCUGAGCUCCUAAUUUCUUAGCUAAUAUAGGGAAACCAACCCUUGUCCUAGACCCUGGGCUUUUGUGGAGGACUGUCUUACUGUUCACAAAUACUUUGCCUCUUCCAUGGGAAGAUAAUCUAUCCCUGCCUGUUGAAAUUGGGCAUGGACAAUGACUUGCUUGGUUGUCUAAUAAAAUGUGAGCAGAAA